rnacentral:tRNA from 1 species
GGAGAGAUGGCAGAGUGGUUGAAUGCGGCGGUCUUGAAAACCGUUGACCGUUCGCGCGGUCCGGGGGUUCGAAUCCCUCUCUCUCCG